rnacentral:lncRNA from 10 species
CUCGCGUGCUGACGGACAGGUGGGGCGGACAGCCGGCGAAAGAUCUGAGGAGCCGCUGGACUGGAAACUGCUACUGGGCUAAAAAUACUUAGGUGUCCCAAAAGGAAGUUUUCGGGAAAGGAAGAGAGUGGGGAAGGACUAGGCAACUUACUGCUUGGUGAGAACUCUUUGGUUUCCACAGAGGUGGCCCAUGAGGUUGGAUGAAGAAACAAAGGCUUGGAGAAGUAUGUAACUUACCCAAGGUUAUACAACUGGUGAGUGGCAGAGCCCACC